rnacentral:tRNA from 1 species
GCGAGCGUAACUCAGUUGGUAGAGUAUCAGCUUCCCAAGCUGAAUGCCGUGGGUUCGAAUCCCAUCGCUCGCU